rnacentral:pre_miRNA from 1 species
AGUGGGAUAGCUGGGUCAGAUGGUGGUUCCAUCCUCAGUUUUCCAAGAAAUCUCCAUACUGCUUUCCAUAUUGGCUGCACCAAUUUGCAGUCCCACCAGCAAU